AAUGGUGCUCUCCAAAACCGCAUCGGAGUCAGAUGUCUCUGUCCACUCCACCUUUGCUUCGCGAUACGUUCGAACUUCUCUUCCGAGGUUCAGAAUGGGAGAGAACUCGAUCCCGAAGGAGGCGGCGUAUCAGAUCAUAAACGACGAGCUGAUGCUGGACGGAAAUCCAAGGCUGAAUCUGGCGUCGUUCGUCACGACGUGGAUGGAGCCGGAAUGCGAUAAGCUCAUCAUGUCCUCCAUCAACAAGAACUACGUCGACAUGGACGAGUACCCUGUCACCACUGAGCUCCAGAACCGGUGCGUGAACAUGAUAGCUCAUCUAUUCAAUGCACCACUCGGAGAAUCAGAGGCGGCCGUUGGAGUCGGCACGGUGGGAUCUUCGGAGGCCAUCAUGUUGGCCGGAUUGGCCUUCAAGAGAAAGUGGCAGAACAAGAGGAGAGCUGAAGGAUUACCGGUCGACAAGCCCAACAUUGUCACCGGAGCCAAUGUUCAGGUGUGCUGGGAGAAAUUUGCUAGAUACUUUGAGGUGGAGCUGAAGGAGGUGAAGCUGAGGGAUGAUUACUUCGUAAUGGACCCUGAGAAAGCAGUGGAGAUGGUCGAUGAGAACACCAUCUGCGUCGCGGCUAUCCUCGGUUCCACUUUAAAUGGCGAGUUUGAGGACGUCAAGCGCUUGAAUGAUCUCCUCGUAGAGAAAAACAACGAAACUGGAUGGGAUACUCCAAUCCAUGUAGACGCCGCGAGUGGUGGAUUCAUUGCUCCAUUUUUGUACCCGGAACUCGAGUGGGAUUUCCGUUUGCUGCUGGUGAAGAGCAUCAACGUGAGCGGGCACAAGUACGGGCUUGUGUAUGCCGGAAUUGGGUGGGUCAUUUGGAGGAACAAAGAGGACUUGCCUGAGGAGCUCAUCUUUCAUAUCAACUACCUUGGAGCAGAUCAACCUACCUUCACCCUCAACUUCUCUAAAGGUCGUAUAUUAAUAGUAAAUACUACUCUUUAAUUCUACGUACGAUCCAGCCAAGUUAUUGCUCAGUAUUACCAACUGAUUCGCUUGGGUUUUGAGGGAUACAGGAACAUCAUGGAAAAUUGUCGUGAAAAUAUGAUUGUACUUAGAGAAGGACUCGAGAAGACGGGCCGCUUCAAGAUCGUCUCCAAGGAUGAAGGAGUACCCUUGGUGGCUUUUUCUCUCAAAGAUAACCACUGCCACGAUGAGUUUGAGAUCUCCGAUUUGUUGCGUCGCUACGGGUGGAUCGUGCCAGCAUACACUAUGCCGGCAGAUGCUCAGCAUGUCACGGUGCUGCGUGUGGUCAUCAGAGAAGACUUUUCUCACACUCUUGCUGAGCGCCUCGUCAAUGAUAUCCAGAAAGUUCUGCAUGAGCUCGAUCGCCUUCCAUCAAAGCUCAGCUCCAACAGUACUAUUGAAACCCAAGAGAUUGAGAACAAUGAGAAGUCCACCGUCACCACAAAGAAGAGUGCUUUGGAGACACAGAGGGAAAUCACCACCAUUUGGAGGAAGUUUGUUAUGGACAAGAAGAAGAUAACCGGUGUGUGUUAGAAAAAAGAAACAAGAAGCUGACUGGAUGAGUUAAUUGAUUCAGUUUGCUACUGUCUUAUGAUUAACUUACUAAUAAUGAGUGUGUAAUGAUCAUAAUUUUCGGUUCCUUCUACAUACACUAUGCAUGUCUUUUAAUUGCAAUUCAAUUGGGAUUUUCUAAUCCUCCAUUUUGUUUGGUGUGUAAACUUAUUUUGAUCAAUUCAUAAGUACUAUCGUGUGUCAGUGUUUCUU